UCGACUGAGCAAAUCGUCCCUCAGCAGAAACUGACGUGGAAGACAAAGGAUGUAGAGAAAUGCACAGUGAGGGGCAAGAACAGCGAUGAGUGCUACAACUACAUCAAAGUGCUGGUGCCUCGUAAUGAUGAAACACUGUUUGCAUGUGGGACCAACGCGUUCACCCCACC